ensembl:rRNA 5S_rRNA 5S ribosomal RNA
GUUUAUGGCCAUACCACCCUGAACACACCCUAUCUCAUCUGGUCUCGGAAGCUAAGCAGGGUUAGGCCUGGUUAGUACUUGGAUGGGAGACAGAUCUUCAGAAGAGACUGCUCAGAGACAGGCAGUUUGGAGACA